rnacentral:tRNA from 1 species
GCCGAAGUGGCGGAACUGGCAGACGCGGCGGACUUAAACUCCGCUGCCGCGGAAGCGGCGUGUGGGUUCGAACCCCACCUUCGGCACCA